CCUAACACAUGCAAGUCGAGCGGUAACAGAAAGAAAGCUUGCUUUCUUUGCUGACGAGCGGCGGACGGGUGAGUAAUGCCUGGGAAUAUGCCUUAGUGUGGGGGAUAACUAUUGGAAACGAUAGCUAAUACCGCAUAACGUCCUUGUUCAUUACGAGCGGGACCAAAGAGGGGGACCUUCGGGCCUCUCGCGCUAAGAUUAGCCCAGGUGGGAUUAGCUAGUUGGUGAGGUAAAGGCUCACCAAGGCAACGAUCCCUAGCUGGUCUGAGAGGAUGAUCAGCCACACUGGAACUGAGACACGGUCCAGACUCCUACGGGAGGCAGCAGUGGGGAAUAUUGCACAAUCGGGGGAAAACCCUGAUGCAGCCAUGCCGCGUGUAUGAAGAAGGCCUUCGGGUUGUAAAGUACUUUCAGUCGUGAGGAAGGCAUUGUAGUUAAUAGCUGCAGUGCUUGACGUUAGCGACAGAAGAAGCACCGGCUAACUCCGUG
rnacentral:rRNA from 1 species